rnacentral:rRNA from 1 species
AUUGAACGCUGGCGGCAGGCCUAACACAUGCAAGUCGAGCGAGCGGCGGACGGGUGAGUAAGUAUGGGGACUGCCCGCUAGAGGGGGAUAACUACUGGAAACGGUAGCUAAUACCGCAUACUAUCGGAUAACUCAUCUGGGGUUAGCUAGUAGGUGAGGUAAUGGCUCACCUAGGCGACGAUCCCCAGCUGGUCUGAGAGGAUGAUCAGCCACACUGGGACUGAGAAACGGCCCAGACGCCUACGGAGGCAGCAGUGGGGAAUAUUGCACAAUGGGCGCAAGCCUGAUGCAGCCAUGCCGCGUGUAUGAAGAAGGCCCUAGGGUUGUAAAGUACUUUUGGCAGAGAAGCGGUAUCUGCAGAAUAAGCACCGGCUAACUACGUGCCAGCAGCCGCGGUAAUUC